GAAAAGUCUCUGCAGGCAGGACACUAGGGCAAUCACAGGACUCACCUCUGUCUUCUCUCAGGGCUUCUUCUGCUGCUUUGCCUGUUUUCAAAGACAUGAUGAAGUGGAUGGCACUCCAGAGCAAGUUUUAGCAAGGAUUUGGGCAAGCAGUGAAUAAUGACCUGUGUUAUGAUGAGAUCUAUAUUUCUCUUGUGACCUGAGAAUGUUCCUCUUCCUCUGUCAAUCCCAAAUUUGAUGCCAUAAUCACUGAAAACAGUAGGAGAGAAGCACUCCUUGUGCUCCUUUUGCACAAGGUAAAUGGUAGAAGAGCUCAAGAAAUUUUCUAAAGCAAUAUAAAUUUCAACUCUGGACAAUAAUAAGUUUCAGCAGAGCAUUUAAACAGUCAACAAGUAGUAGAAAU
rnacentral:lncRNA from 1 species